rnacentral:ribozyme from 1 species
UGCAGUCGCCAGCUCUGUAAUGGGAUGGGAUCCGAAGCCCUCCGAGGGAUAACAUAGGCUCUCCCAUCCAACUCCUAUUCCGACACGUCCUCGUCGUGCAGAGUGGUAACAUGUGCCUCCAUAUAUCCUAGCUUGGGUACACGGG